AGUGAUCGGACCUUGCACCCACGACAGUGCGUGUGCUUGGCUGGUGAGCGCGUUCCCGUAAGACCUAGAGUCGCAAGCCAGCGCGAGGUCGCAUUCUUUGAAAGGAGGGAGUAGUGUAACGACUCUGCCGCACGAGUAUGCUUUUGUGGCACAGUCGAUAGCGCGCUGGACCUCGGGGUCGAGGGUUCGAGACCUGCCCUGCUCCCUGGUGUUUCAUUACAAUAUUUAAAGUUAAUUUCAUAUUUAAGUUAGAGUGAAGUCUAUUCACGAAAGACAAGGGAAACCAGGCUCCCCUCAAAAAAUAUAAACAUUUCGUUUUUCUCGUCUCUUUGUGUUUCAUAAUUUUCCUUCAAUUCGCAAGAGGCUGAAUGAAUGUAUCUCACAGGAAAAGCAGCGAGAAAACAGCAACCCUCUGUCUCUCUAUGUCUAGUCCAAACGAGUGGGACAUUCUUGCCGCCAGUAGCAUUGAAUGAAAGGGAAGCCAGCGAGCAUUUGGCCAUCCUUGACAAAACAAGUAUACAAAUUAGCCAAUCAGUGUUGAGCUAAACCGAGGGAGAUCAUAUUUAAUUGGCCCUAUCAAAUGGCUUUGAGAGCAUAAGUCUUAAACAUAAACGACUUGAAUUGUUGCAUCUCGUUGUUGUUGUUCUCUGGUGGCUAGCUAGAUAGAUACAAUCGUCUCUUUCCUAAAUUAGCCAUGGAUGGAGAUAGGGAUUUGGACUUAAUUCUCCGUACUGGCAAAUGAUUGUAGCGGUGAUUCUGAUCCAACCAUUAAUUCAUCCAUUGUUGUGCCCCUGGCCUGAGAGGACGGAAGUUCAAUAUGUAGCUAGAUGUAGAAGGCUAAUGUUAACUAAUUAACGUUACCCAUGAAUGGAAGUUAGGCUAGCGAGCAAGCAUUUUAUUUAGGUAGCCUAGAACAACAACCAAAUACAAGCGUGUACUGUAUGACAGAGUGGGAGACCGUUUCUUCAACAUGAGAGAGGAGGAUGGCAUUGGCCUUUCUCUACAUGUUGGAAUGACCCCUGAUCCCCCAGAAACGUGUGUUUUCCCAUCUCCACGGACCCUACUUUUGACCAGGGUCCAUGUCCCUCUCCCACAGGCAGAGGAACAGUGGAAGGGCUGACAUCACCACAUCACUACCUCUGGAGGGCAUCAGCUACAGUAUCACUGUGCUCCACUCUUGUACAUAACCUUCAGGUCAGUAUCACUGUGCUCUGGUCUUGUACAUAACAUUCAGGUCAGUAUCACUGUGCUCUGGUCUUGUACAUAACAUUCAGGUCAGUAUCACUGUGCUCUGGUCUUGUACAUAACAUUCAGGUCAGUAUCACUGUGCUCUGGUCUUGUACAUAACAUUCAGGUCAGUAUCACUGUGCUCUGGUCUUGUACAUAACAUUCAGGUCAGUAUCACUGUGCUCUGGUCUUGUACAUAACAUUCAGGUCAGUAUCACUGUGCUCUGGUCUUGUACAUAACAUUCAGGUCAGUAUCACUGUGCUCUGGUCUUGUACAUAACAUUCAGGUCAGUAUCACUGUGCUCUGGUCUUGUACAUAACAUUCAGGUCAGUAUCACUGUGCUCUGGUCUUGUACAUAACAUUCAGGUCAGUAUCACUGUGCUCUGGUCUUGUACAUAACAUUCAGGUCAGUAUCACUGUGCUCUGGUCUUGUACAUAACAUUCAGGUCAGUAUCACUGUGCUCUGGUCUUGUACAUAACAUUCAGGUCAGUAUCACUGUGCUCUGGUCUUGUACAUAACAUUCAGGUCAGUAUCACUGUGCUCUGGUCUUGUACAUAACAUUCAGGUCAGUAUCACUGUGCUCCGGUCUUGUACAUAACCCGCCUUCAUUUGUAUAUUCUCUCUCAAAUAGCUGUCUAUAGAUGCACCAGUCCAUACUUUCAUGAACACUGUUAUUACAGUCCACCCUAACAGUAAUGACAUAUAUGAAGAGACACAAGAGAACAAUCAAUAACCUUGGGGUCCAAUAGCAGACAGCCACCUCUUGAGAAUGUACAUAACUCUACACAGCCACCUGACAAGAUCUGACUAGUCCACAAUCUCUUUUAAUGAGCAGAUCAUUGUGACUGUAUACAGGACCUUCUUAUUAAAGGAUUCACACCCCCCUUGACUUUUUCCACCGUUUGUUGUGUUACAGCCUGAAUUUAAAAUGGAUUACAUUUAGAUGGUGUGUCACUGGCCUAUACACAAUACCCCAUAAUGUCAACCAAAAGAAUAUUCCAGAACAUGCAUCCUCUUUGCAAUAAGGCAU